rnacentral:rRNA from 1 species
AGACCCGAAACCCGGUGAUCUAGCCAUGGGCAGGUUGAAGGUUGGGUAACACUAACUGGAGGACCGAACCGACUAAUGUUGAAAAAUUAGCGGAUGACCUGUGGCUGGGGGUGAAAGGCCAAUCAAACCGGGAGAUAGCUGGUUCUCCCCGAAAGCUAUUUAGGUAGCGCCUCGUGAAUUCAUCUCCGGGGGUAGAGCACUGUUUCGGCUAGGGGGCCAUCCCGGCUUACCAACCCGAUGCAAACUGCGAAUACCGGAGAAUGUUAUCACGGGAGACACACGGCGGGUGCUAACGUCCGUCGUGAAGAGGGAAACAACCCAGACCGCCAGCUAAGGUCCCAAAGUCAUGGUUAAGUGGGAAACGAUGUGGGAAGGCCCAGACAGCCAGGAUGUUGGCUUAGAAGCAGCCAUCAUUUAAAGAAAGCGUAAUAGCUCACUGGUCGAGUCGGCCUGCGCGGAAGAUGUAACGGGGCUAAACCAUGCACCGAAGCUGCGGCAGCGAACGUAUCACCCAAGACAACUUUACGGAGUUGACGAUUGACGGAGCGAAGCGACGUCAAAGCGUUCAUUAAAGUCGAGUUGGCUUAGGGAUACGUUCGUUGGGUAGGGGAGCGUUCUGUAAGCCUGUGAAGGUGGCCUGUGAGGGUUGCUGGAGGUAUCAGAAGUGCGAAUGCUGACAUAAGUAACGAUAAAGCGGGUGAAAAGCCCGCUCGCCGGAAGACCAAGGGUUCCUGUCCAACGUUAAUCGGGGCAGGGUGAGUCGACCCCUAAGGCGAGGCCGAAAGGCGUAGUCGAUGGGAAACGGGUUAAUAUUCCCGUACUUGGUGUUACUGCGAAGGGGGGACGGAGAAGGCUAUGUUGGCCGGGCGACGGUUGUCCCGGUUUAAGCGUGUAGGUGUGUGUUCCAGGUAAAUCCGGUUCACUUUAACACUGAGGCGUGAUGACGAGGCACUACGGUGCUGAAGCAACAAAUGCCCUGCUUCCAGGAAAAGCCUCUAAGCAUCAGGUAACAUCAAAUCGUACCCCAAACCGACACAGGUGGUCAGGUAGAGAAUACCAAGGCGCUUGAGAGAACUCGGGUGAAGGAACUAGGCAAAAUGGUGCCGUAACUUCGGGAGAAGGCACGCUGACACGUAGGUGAAGUGAUUUACUCAUGGAGCUGAAGUCAGUCGAAGAUACCAGCUGGCUGCAACUGUUUAUUAAAAACACAGCACUGUGCAAACACGAAAGUGGACGUAUACGGUGUGACGCCUGCCCGGUGCCGGAAGGUUAAUUGAUGGGGUCAGCGCAAGCGAAGCUCCUGAUCGAAGCCCCGGUAAACGGCGGCCGUAACUAUAACGGUCCUAAGGUAGCGAAAUUCCUUGUCGGGUAAGUUCCGACCUGCACGAAUGGCGUAAUGAUGGCCAGGCUGUCUCCACCCGAGACUCAGUGAAAUUGAACUCGCUGUGAAGAUGCAGUGUACCCGCGGCAAGACGGAAAGACCCCGUGAACCUUUACUAUAGCUUGACACUGAACAUUGAGCCUUGAUGUGUAGGAUAGGUGGGAGGCUUU